CGGGGCAUGGCGCAGCUUGGUAGCGCGUCCGCUUUGGGAGCGGAAGGUCGCAGGUUCGAAUCCUGUUGCCCCGA
rnacentral:tRNA from 1 species